rnacentral:rRNA from 1 species
CAGUCGUACCUUCGGGUAAUCAGCCUUUUGGGUGUGAUUAUGUGGAGCGUGAGGAGUUAAACGCCUUCAUGCCUGCAUAUUCGUGCACUUUGGGUGUACUUGCCCGUGUGGUUGGUUAACAUCAAUUUUGGUUAUCAUAAAAUGACUGGAGGAAUGUAGCUUCGAUCUCGUAUUGAAGUGUUAUAGCCUUCGGUAGAUGUGAUGAUCGAGAUUGAGGAUUGCAACGGAUACCCUUCGGGGCUACCUGUCUGGUCUCUGAUCGUUGCUCUGGUGCCGAAAGCUUGCUUAUGAUGUUAGGGUAUUACGGUCAAAAGGUUAGAACGAAUUACA